AUUGAACGCUGGCGGCAGGCCUAACACAUGCAAGUCGAGCGGAUGACGGGAGCUUGCUCCUUGAUUCAGCGGCGGACGGGUGAGUAAUGCCUAGGAAUCUGCCUGGUAGUGGGGGACAACGUUUCGAAAGGAACGCUAAUACCGCAUACGUCCUACGGGAGAAAGCAGGGGACCUUCGGGCCUUGCGCUAUCAGAUGAGCCUAGGUCGGAUUUAGCUAGUUGGUGGGGUAAUGGCUCACCAAGGCGACGAUCCGUAACUGGUCUGAGAGGAUGAUCAGUCACACUGGAACUGAGACACGGUCCAGACUCCUACGGGAGGCAGCAGUGGGGAAUAUUGGACAAUGGGCGAAAGCCUGAUCCAGCCAUGCCGCGUGUGUGAAGAAGGUCUUCGGAUUGUAAAGCACUUUAAGUUGGGAGGAAGGGCAGUAAGCUAAUACCUUGCUGUUUUGACGUUACCGACAGAAUAAGCACCGGCUAACUCUGUGCCAGCCGCCGCCGUAAGAC
rnacentral:rRNA from 1 species